AAUCCGGUAGGUAAGGCUACUGUAGGGAUAUGGGUUGCUGCCGCAAAAGGAUGGAGACAUCCUGCGCUGGUUGAACAGGUCCAGUCGAAUUCAAGGCUGAACAUAAUGCAACUUCACCGCCCUGCGAAGCUAAAGCUCAGACGGUGG
rnacentral:sRNA from 1 species